rnacentral:rRNA from 1 species
ACUGCUAUUUGGGUGAGAAUAAGCCAUGCGAGUUGAAUGGGAUACCUAAAUUUCCCAUAGCAAACUGCUUAGUAACACAUGAUCAACUUGCCCUAUGGAGAAAAAUAACCUCGGGAAACUGAGGAUAAUGUUUCAUAGUUGAAUAGGCUUGGAAAAGUUUUUCAAUGAAAGGAAUAAGACAAAUGGGUCUUAUUUGCCAUAGGAUAGGAUCGUGGUCGAUUAUGGUAGUUGGUGAGGUAACGGCUCACCAAGCCGAUAAUCGAUAGGGGCCGUGAGAGCGGGAGCCCCAAGAUGGGUACUGAGACAGCGACCCAGGCCUUACGAGGCGCAGCAGGCGCGAAACCUCCGCAAUACACGAAAGUGUGACGGGGUUACCCAAAGUGUUCUCUUUAGAACUGUGGUAGGUGAGUAAUGUCCCCUACUAGAAAGGAGAGGGCAAGGCUGGUGCCAGCCGCCGCGGUAAAACCAGCUCUUCAAGUGGUCGGGAUAAUUAUUGGGCUUAAAGUGUCCGUAGCCGGUUUAGUUAGUUCCUGGUAAAAUCGGGUAGCUUAACUAUCUGCAUGCUAGGAAUACUGCUAUACUAGAGGGCGGGAGAAGUCUGAGGUACUACAGGGGUAGGGGUGAAAUCUUAUAAUCCUUGUAGGACCACCAGUGGCGAAGGCGUCAGACUGGAACGCGCCUGACGGUGAGGGACGAAAGCCAGGGGAGCGAACCGGAUUAGAUACGUCGGUGCUAGAUUAAUCUAAUAAGAUCUAACAUCACGCUAAAAACCCGGGUAGUCCUGGCCGUAAACGAUGCAUACUAGGUGAUGGUACGGCCAUGAGCCGUAUCAGUGCCGUAGGGAAACCGUUAAGUGUGCCGCCUGGGAAGUACGGUCGCAAGGCUAAAACUUAAAGGAAUUGGCGGGGGAGCACCACAAGGGGUGAAGCCUGCGGUUCAAUUGGACUCAACGCCGGGAAACUUACCAGGGGAGACAGCAGAAUGAAGGUCAGGUUGACGACCUUACCUGAUGAGCUGAGAGGAGGUGCAUGGCCGUCGCCAGUUCGUGCUGUGAGGUAUCCUGUUAAGUCAGGCAACGAACGAGAUCCGCGCCUUUAUUUGCCAACAAGAAGUCACGACUUCGUUGGGAACACUAAAGGGACCGCCGUCGAUAAGACGGAGGAAGGAGCGGGCAAAGGCAGGUCAGUAUGCCCCGAAACCCCUGGGCUACACGCGGGCUGCAAUGGUAUGAACAAUGGGCUGUGACUCCGAAAGGAGAAACCAAUCCCGAAAUCAUAUCACAGUGGGGAUUGUUGGCUGUAACCCGCCGACAUGAACGUGGAAUCCCUAGUAAUCGUGUGUCAUCAUCGCACGGUGAAUACGUCUCUGCUCCUUGCACACACCGCCCGUCG